GUACUGCGCCGCCUCCUCCUCGCUGAUGCCGCCGGGCCCCCCCUCCCCCUCCUCUUUUUCCACCAUUUCCCUCUCCGCCGCCGCUGCCGCCGUUCUCCUCACAACGUUCGGGACUUUCCGCCACCUCUCGGUAUCUUCCGGUACCCUUCGGUUACCUCCGCUAAUCCCUCGGAACUUUCCGUUACCCCUCGGAACUUUCCGUUACUCCUCCCGCGCGCGCGAGCGCGCUUCGGAAUUUUCCGUCAUCUCCUCGGUAUAUUCCGGUACCAUUCGGCUUUCUUCGCUAUCUCUCGGUACUUUCCGUCAACCAUCGCUAUCCCUCGGGACUUUCCGCUAUUCCUCGGCUCCUCCCGCCCCGCCCUUUGGCUUUCUCCGCCCCAAUUUCAGUUCCGUUCGGCUCUCCCCGCCCUUCCUUCGCUUUUCUCCACCCCAAUUUCAGUUCCGUUCGGCUCUCUCCGCCCUUCCUUCGCUUUUCUCCGCCCCAACUUCAGUUCCGUUCGGCUCUCUCCGCCCCCACUUCGAUUUUCUCCGCCCCUACCUCGGCUCUCUCCGCCCCCACUUCGGUUUUCUCCGCCCCAACUUCGGUUUUCUCCGCCCCAACUUCGGCAUUCUCCGCCCCCACUUCGGCUCUCUCCGCCCCAACUUCGGUUUUCUCCGCCCCAACUUCGGCAUUCUCCGCCCCAACUUCGGCAUUCUCCGCCCUCCCUUCGCCUCUCUCCGCCCCGACUUCGUCAAUCCCCGCCCUCCCUUCGUGCUUUUCCGCCUCCGCUCGGCCCUUCCCGCCCCCCCUCAGGGCGCCGCCGGCCGCCAUUUUGUGCGCGCGUCCCGCAGGGGGGGGGGGGCAACCAGAGCGCCGUACAGUGACUGUUGCACNNNNNNNNNNNNNNNNNNNNNNNNNNNNNNNNNNNNNNNNNNNNNNNNNNNNNNNNUGAAUUCACCCCCCCUCCAAUGGCCGUGGAGAACCCGAGUGUCCCCCCCGCCGCCGCCGCGUCCCCCCCCAGCCCGCACGCCGCCCCCCCACCUCCCGAGGGCGGGGGCUGCAGCCUCCCCCGGGCACCGCCGCUCCACGUUCAGCACGGCCCGGACGAAAGGGAAGAUGGGGAACUGGAGGAGGGCGAGCUGGAGGAUGAUGGUGCUGAGGAAACCCCGGAGCCACGGCCCACACGGAGCCGCAGGGAGAAGGGAGAGCGGCACGGCAGCGACUCGGAUGGGGAGCGGUCGCAUCGGCGCGGCAAGAGAAAACGGCGUAAGGAGCGUGAGAAGGAGAAGAGGAGAGCCAAAAAGAAGAGGAAAUCCAAGCACAAGCGACACGCCUCGUCCAGUGAUGAUUUCUCAGAUGACAGCGAUGACUCCGACUUCAGCCCUGGAGAGAAGGGGGGGCACCGCCGGUACCGGGACUACAGCCCCCCCUACGUCCCCGUGAGUACUGGGAGAAUGGUGUGCAGGCCUCAAAAAUGGGGAAAUUGGGGGAUUUUGUCAUUAAAAGGGUUUCAGAGCUGUUCCCAAUGGGAUCUCAGCAGAGCUCCCAGUGGGAUCCCAAAACUGCUCCCAUUGGGAUCUCACCACCGUUCCCAAUGGGGCUUUCAACACCAUUCCCAAUGGGAUCCCAGCACUGUUCCCAUUGGGAUUCCAUCACCACUCCCAUUGGGAUCCCAGCACAGUUCCCAAUGGGGUCUCACAUUCAUUCCCAAUUGGAUCCCAGUCCCAUUCCCAAUUGGAUCCCACUACCAUUACCAAUGGGAUCCCACUACCAUUCCCAAUGGGAUCCCAUCAUGAUUCCCAUUGGGAUCCCACCACUGCUCCCAAUGGGAUCCCACCACCGUUCCCAAUGGGAUCCCAUCAUUGUUCCCAAUGGGAUCCCACCACCGUUCCCAAUAGGAUCCCACCAUCGUUCCCAAUGGGAUCCCAUCAUCAUUCCCAAUGGGAUCCCACCACCAUUCCCAAUGGGAUCCCACCACUGCUCCCAUUGAGAUCCCAAUGGGAUCCCACCACUGUUGCCAAUGGGAUCCCACCACUGCUCCCAAUGGGAUCCCACCACUGCUUCCAUUGAGAUCCCAAUGGGAUCCCACCGCCGUUCCCAAUGGGAUUCCAUCACCGUUCCCAAUGGGAUCCCACCACCAUUCCCAAUGGGAUUCCAUCAUCGUUCCCAAUGGGAUCCCACCACCAUUCCCAAUGGGAUCCCACCACCGUUCCCAAUAGGAUCCCAUCAUCGUUCCCAAUGGGAUCCCAUCAUUGUUCCCAAUGGGAUCCCACCACCGUUCCCAAUAGGAUCCCAUCAUCGUUCCCAGUGGGAUCCCAGCCCAGUUCCCUGCAGGACCCCA
ensembl:lncRNA